UACGUAGGGUGCAAGCGUUGUCCGGAAUUAUUGGGCGUAAAGAGCUCGUAGGCGGUCUGUCGCGUCUGGUGUGAAAAUCCAGGGCUUAACCCUGGACCUGCAUCGGGUACGGGCAGACUAGAGUGCGGUAGGGGAGAUCGGAAUUCCUGGUGUAGCGGUGAAAUGCGCAGAUAUCAGGAGGAACACCGGUGGCGAAGGCGGCAUCCUGGACCGGCAUUGACGCUGAGGCGCGAAAGCCAGGGGAGCAAACAGG
rnacentral:rRNA from 1 species